rnacentral:rRNA from 1 species
CCUACGGGUGGCUGCAGUGGGGAAUAUUGGGCAAUGGGCGCAAGCCUGACCCAGCAACGCCGCGUGAAGGAAGAAGGCUUUCGGGUUGUAAACUUCUUUUCUCAGGGACGAAGCAAUUGACGUUACCUGAGUAAUAAGCCACGGCUAACUACGGGCCAGCAGCCGCUGUAAUACGUAGGUGGCAAGCGUUAUCCGGAUUUACUGGGUGUAAAGGGCUUGUAGGCGGGGACGCAAGUCAGAUGUGAAAACCACGGGCUCAACCUGUGGACCGCAUUUGAAACUGUGUUGCUUGAGUACUGGAGAGGUAGACGGAAUUCCUAGUGUAGCGGUGAAAUGCGUAGAUAUUAGGAGGAACACCAGUGGCGAAGGCGGUCUGCUGGACAGCAACUGACGCUGAGGCGCGAAAGCGUGGGGAGCAAACAGGAUUAGAUACCCUUGUAGUC